CGCGCAGGCGGCUUUGCAAGCCAGAGGUGAAAUGCCUGAGCUUAACUUAGGAAUUGCCUUUGGGACUGCGAGGCUUUGAGGACGGGAGAGGUGAGUGGAAUUCCCAGUGUAGAGGUGAAAUUCGUAGAUAUUGGGAAGAACACCGGUGGCGAAGGCGGCUCACUGGCCCGUUUCUGACGCUGUAGCGCGAAAGCGUGGGGAUCAAACAGGAUUAGAUACCCUGGUAGUCCACGCCGUAAACGAUGAGUGCUAGGCGUCGGCACGCUUGCGUGUCGGUGCCGCAGCUAACGCGUGAAGCACUCCGCCUGGGGAGUACGGUCGCAAAGAUUAAAA
rnacentral:rRNA from 1 species